CCUUUCCUGGGUUCAGCACAGUUUGAGGCAGUGAGCGUUAAUAGCAUCAGGUCUGGAGUGAGGAAGAGAAACUCCACACACUGCAGAGUCGCCCACGUCCAUUUAAAGUGCACAAGGUUAAAUGGAGAAAAAGUAAAAGUUAAACUUCUACUUCUACUCUCUUCAAGAACAGAGCUGUGGAAAAAGACGGUUGGUGAAAGCAUGAGGAUCUCUCUGCGUUCCUGCAGCCGAGUCUGAGAGAAAGGCUGACGACCGAUGUGCUGAGGCUGGAAAAUAAAGCUGCAGCUUUGCUUUAGAGGCAGAGGGAUUUUCUUCUUACCUCUGGAUCUCCAAGGCCAAAUACAUCACAGAACCUGUCUGUUAGCAGCUUGACCUGCUCCUGAGAAGGUUCUCUGAAUGUCAUCUGGGUUUUUCUUCCUCUUGGUUAAGCUGAAGCUAAAACCCACACAGGCUCAUGGUGUAGUGAUGAAAUAAGAAGUAAAGUGAAAGUGAGCCGCUUCUCUCCCUCUUUUUUUGGAGAAAACGCUUCUGAAUGAACGAAAUGGGGACGAGUGAGGAAGCUCUGCUCUCCAUCCAUUCAGCUGCAGACACAUUCACACGUUCUGGAGCAUGAAAUUAAACAUUAGAGACAUCUCUUAUUGAAUAUCGCCUGUUUUACGGGGACAUGAAAAGGAGUAAAAUGGCUGAAAUGAAGAAGCAGACACACUGAAGCCUCCACUCGUCCUCACACCGAGAGAAAAACUCUCUCCCUCUCUCUCUCUCUCUCUCUCUCUCUCUCUCUAUGUCUUUUAAUGUCAUUUCAAACACUGAGGUCUCUCCAUCAACACUUCCCCACACUUUCCCUUGAUGUAUUAUGCAAUAUUUAGUGAACUUCAGCUCCUUCACUCCAGAUGUGUGUAUUCAGAAUUGAUUAAAUUCACGUUUAGAAUUAUUCCACAAAAUUCUAAACGUGUCGUUUUCACCUGACUGAAGAAAACAAAUAAAUCAUGAGACUUUUUUAU